GGUCUUUUGUGGAUAGUUGUCUCAUUGGCAAUCAUACCACAUCUUCUUUUUUAUAUAUUCAAUGUAUUGAAAGUUUAUAAUAGUUGACUUGGGUCAAAGUUUAUAAAAACCUUGAUUUGGCUCAGGCAGUUUAACCCUUUGCAAAGAGGAUCGCUCAUUCUGGAAUGUAUUGAAAAGUAAUAUAAAAACAAUACCGAAAUCCAAUGAAAAAAACCCACAUCAAACGAAUUGCAUUUCCUUCUGUAGAAAACGGUGGAUGAAGCUUGGUUUUAUAGCUACCUAAACUUCUCACUUUGUUUACAUUUAUGUUUAAAGGGGCGGGAAUGAUAAUUCUAAUGCAAAAAACUUUCUUAUCAAGUCUCUGUGAUGGGUACCAAUUGCGCUCCUCUACUUGCAGAUUUUUUUUUUGUAUUCCUAUGAUGCAGAAUUUGUCCAAGGGCUGGUACAGAAAGGAGAAAAGAAAUUAGCCCAGUCUUUUAAUUUCACCUUUCGGUAUAUUGAUGAUGUACUGUCUCUUAAUAAUAAUAGAUUUAGUGAUCACUUACAUUUAAUAUAUCCAUGUGAAAUUGAAAUUAAAGAUACUACCGACACAGAUAAAUCUGCUUCAUAUUUAGACUUUUUCUCGAAAUGACUACUGAUGGUAGGUUAAAAACCAAAAUUUAUGACAAUCGCGAUGAUUUUAAUUUUCCUAUAGUCAACUUUCCAUUUCUGUGUAGCAAAAUCCCAGCGGUCAGCAUAUGGAGUAUAUGUGUCUCAAUUGAUACGUUACUCUAGAUCUAGCUAAAAGUACGUUGAUUUUGUUGAACGAGGAAUACUGUUUUCUCAAAACUUGCUAAGACAGGGCUAUGAAUCAAUCAAAUUAAGGUCAUUACUCAAGAAAGUUUACGGUUGCCAUGCUGAGAUGAUAGUUCAUUAUGACAAAAGUGUGUCAAAACUUAUAUCUGAAAUUCUUUCUCAGUCAUAAUAACCUUCCACCCUCCGGAGCACCUGAUUUCACUCCCGCUUUUUAGUGGAGUUCGUAUUGUUUUUUAUUCAUUAUUUGUAACUGUUGAUGUAAAUGUCCUUUGAUUUUUUUAGUCUUUGUUUACUCCUUGGUUUUGAUUUUUAUUGUCUUAACAUCGAACUUAUGGACCUUUAAACAUCUUAAAACGGUUCAAAUAUUGCGUUAUUCAGCCCGUCUUGCAAUAAGGUGGGUUUUGAUUUUUAAGCAAGUUAAAUAAAUAUUUCUUACAAAUAAUUUGAUAUAAAACAUGUUUUACCAAAG
rnacentral:lncRNA from 1 species